GGGACAGCGGGACACGGGACACCGGGACACCGACCCCGCUCCAGUCGCGGGAGAGGCGUUCGGAAGAAGAGGGAGAAGCAGAAGUUUUAACCAUCUUCCCAUGGCGUCUGACUUUUUUGAGGAAGGAGGAUGCACCCACGAGCAGAAGCAGUGAGGUUCACAGUGGGGAAAAUGAACCCAGCAGUCCAUCCUAUCCCAUACCUGCCUGAGUACGGGAAGAGACCUCAUACAAGCCAGAAUGCAUCUGGGCUUGCAGCUCUUUUUAAUCAUAUUAAGUCCUAUUCAGAGUUAAUGGUGAGCUCAGUGAGAUGA
rnacentral:lncRNA from 1 species